UGGGGAAUAUUGGACAAUGGGCGAAAGCCUGAUCCAGCCAUGCCGCGUGUGUGAAGAAGGUCUUCGGAUUGUAAAGCACUUUAAGUUGGGAGGAAGGGCAGUAAGCGAAUACCUUGCUGUUUGGACGUUACCGACAGAAUAAGCACCGGCUAACUCUGUGCCAGCAGCCGCGGUAAUACAGAGGGUGCAAGCGUUAAUCGGAAUUACUGGGCGUAAAGCGCGCGUAGGUGGUUCGUUAAGUUGAAUGUGAAAGCCCCGGGCUCAACCUGGGAACUGCAUCCAAAACUGGCGAGCUAGAGUAGGGCAGAGGGUGGUGGAAUUUCCUGUGUAGCGGUGAAAUGCGUAGAGAUCUGGAGGAAUACCGAUGGCGAAGGCAGCCAUCUGGCCUAACACUGACGCUGAGGUACGAAAGCAUGGGGAGCAAACAGG
rnacentral:rRNA from 1 species